rnacentral:lncRNA from 1 species
CCCCCCGCCGGACCCCUCCCCGCUCGGGCCGUGCGAGCCCGCCGAGCCCCAACCCCGCAGCCCCAACCCCGCGGCCCCGACCGCGUCCCGCGGGGACUCACCGACCCUGCGUGUCCCGGGCGGCGGAAGGCGCUGAGGUAGUGCCGGUGCGGUGCCGGGGCGGUGCCGGGGCCAGUGCCGGUGUGGACCCCGCGGUUCUGCCGAGCGCGCGCCGCUCCCCCGCACAAAUCGGCACCUUCCGACAGCUGAUCGUGACGUCACAAAGCGGCCCCGCCCCUCGCCGCCGCAGCCAAUGGGAGCGGGCGUAGGGAGGGCGGGGCCCGCCCCGGGGUGGGGCCGGGGGUCGCGGGGUCUCGGGGGGACGCGAGUGGGCGAGGCCGGAGACCUUUGGGUUCCUCCGUGCCCCGGGAGGCCUCAUCCAAAGAGAAACUUCGGUGUGACACGGGUGAGGGGGCUGGGCCUGAAACUCCGGGAUGUGCCACCCAACCAUUAUCCACCUGCGAGACAGAGGGGGCUGAGGGGGUUCGUGAAGACACCAGGAACAUCCCUGGAGUGUCACAGCCUCUCAGAAUGCUUGGCAUCAGGAGGUUUGCCUUUGUCCUCAGCACAGGCUGACCAUGGGACCAAGGUUUGGUUUGACAUCGUGCCAGGGACAGGAAAUGCUUCCAUCUCUGCUGCACCCUGCCCUGGUCUUCUACUGCCAAAAGGGGGUAGCAGCCCCCUUCCAGGGCAGCAUAGUGAUUUAUCUGCUGGAAAAGCUGCUGCAC